rnacentral:tRNA from 2 species
ACCCGGGUGGCGGAAUUGGUAGACGCGCUAUCUUCAGGAGGUAGUAUCGCAAGAUUUCAGGGUUCGAGUCCCUGCCCGGGUA